rnacentral:ncRNA from 2 species
GAUGUUCGAUCGGGAGAGAUCGCCGGCCCAGACCGGCGACGCCGAAGGAGCAACCGCCCCGGAAACUCUCAGGCAAAAGGACCGGUCGAAUUCU